CCAUCAGCACUAUCACCUUGGUCAACUUCUCCUUCUUCCUUCACCUUCCCCUCGAGGGAAAGUCUCCUUCUCUCACUCUCCUACUAUCAGCUCUUCGUUUUGCUUAAGUAAAUCAGUCCUCUUUUCCUCCAUCACAACCUCUUUGUUGGUAAUUCGUAUCAACAUAGUAGUUUAAUUUUAAUGUUUUUGAGACUUUAAUUGAAAAAACCAACGAUGAGCUGCAUUUUCUAAUGACUUCGUUAAGUAUUAACAAAGUAGUUAAGAUUCUUCUUCAAGAAUUGAAGCUUGUUGAAGUUGUGAAAUAGUUCCUGCAAAAGGAGCCGGUAUGGAGUUCAAGCAAAAGGGCCAGGGCUGAGAUGGGUUUUUCUUUGUGAAGCUCAAGAUUUGUGAUUUUUGGAGUGAGUAUUUUUAUCUUGGUUAAAAUAUGAUAAUAGUUCCAAUAUUUUUUACAAAAUUUGAGAUUUAGUCCAUACUUUAAAAGUUAAAAAUUCGAUCUCUUACUUUUUCAAUUUAAAAAUCUUAUAGUCCUAUGAUUAUCAAUUAAAAUUUGCCAACAUAACAUGUUUACCUCUCAUCAAAUCAUAUGUCACAUCACGAGGGUAGCCUCAUCAACAUGUUAAAUUCACAAAAUUUAAUGAAAAAUACAUGAUUUGAUUUUCUGUUCAUGGAAUCAGAAACAAAAACAAGAUUUGGGUCCUUUUUGAAGCUUUAAAGGUGUGCUUUAUGGGUGGCGGUGCUUCUAAGAGGUGGUUUUUUGUUUGUUAAGGAGGGUUGGGAAAAUGAAAGUUGAAAGCGGAGGGUUUGUCGACCAUUCAAAUACCAAGAUUACUGUGUAGUCAAUUUGAUGGCUGCCGAGUGUAACUAAACUUCGAGGAGUCAAAGUCCAGAGGGGAGUGAUCCAAGAUCUGAGAUUUUUAGCCUGUAACAAUAAUUGGAGUUGGGUUAGAAUUUGGGUUCGUCUGCAUGCCUUGGAUUUUGUUUUGUUGGGCAUUUGUAUACAAUUUAUUUGGACUCCUCCUAGUUUACUAACCCUUUGGAUAGUCUUUACCCAAUUGGGUUUAUUAAUAAACAAAAUUGCA
rnacentral:lncRNA from 1 species